GGACCGGCACCGCCGAGUCGCUCGACGAGUGAGCCGGGGACCCAGGUUCCCUCGGGGUGAAUCCGCAGAUCGUGCGGUAGGGCGUCGACUUCCCGCCCGAACCCGUCAGCUAACCCGGUAGGCGGUCAGGAAGAAGGA
rnacentral:sRNA from 2 species